rnacentral:rRNA from 1 species
AGCAGCCGCGGUAAUUCCAGCUCCAAUAGCGUAUAUUAAAGUUGUUGCAGUUAAAAAGCUCGUAGUUGAAUUUCGGGAUCAAUAUGUUGGUCGUGCCUCGGUACGUACUAGCAUAUUGGUUUCUCCUUUCUGAAGAACCAUGAUGUCAUUUAUUUGGUGUCGUGGGGAAUCAGGACUGUUACUUUGAAAAAUUAGAGUGUUUAAAGCAGGCUCACGCUUGAAUACAUUAGCAUGGAAUAAUGAAAUAGGACGUUUGAUUCUAUUUUGUUGGUUUCUAGGAUCGACGUAAUGAUUAAUAGGGAUAGUUGGGGGCAUUAGUAUUCAAUUGUCAGAGGUGAAAUUCUUGGAUUUAUUGAAGACUAACUACUGCGAAAGCAUUUGCCAAGGAUGUUUUCAUUAAUCAAGAACGAAAGUUAGGGGAUCGAAGACGAUCAGAUACCGUCGUAGUCUUAACCAUAAACUAUGCCGACUAGGGAUCGGAUGAUGUUAAUUUUUAAUGACUCAUUCGGCGUACCCG